rnacentral:rRNA from 1 species
UACAGAGGGUGCGAGCGUUAAUCGGAAUUAUUGGGCGUAAAGGGCGCGUAGGUGGUAGAUUAAGUUGGAUGUGAAAGACUGGAGCUUAACUUCGGGAUGUCAUUCAAUACUGGUUUACUAGAGUACAGUAGAGGGUAGUGGAAUUUCCAGUGUAGCGGUGAAAUGCGUAGAGAUUGGAAAGAACACCGGUGGCGAAGGCGACUACCUGGACUGAUACUGACACUGAGGCGCGAAAGCGUGGGGAGCGAACAGG